AGUUGCUUCAUUAAACCAAUGUUGUGCCCUCAGGUCUCAGAUGCUCUGUCCUUUUCCUGUGACUUGACUCUUUUUCAUCUUUGUAUUUCUGAUUAAUUUCCAUUAGCCUGUAUUCAUGACUACCAAUUCCCUCCUCUGUUGUACCCAUUCUCAUUCUAAGUCACUCAAAAAGAUUCUUCAUUUCUAAUAUCCUGUUUUUCAUUUCUAACAUUUAAAUUUUUUAAAAAUUCUUUAAAAAAAUUCAGAGUUAAAAAUUCAGAGUUAACUUAUUUUUUUCCUUUUCCGUUAUUCUUUUUUAUUUAUACAUGACAGCAGAAUACAUUACAAUUCUUAUUACACAUAUAGAGCACAAUUUUCAUAUCUUUGGUUGUAUACUAAUAUUUUAAAAAAUUCUUAAAAUUAAAAUUUAAAAAUUUAAUUUAAAUAUUAUAUCAUUUCCAUUUCUCUACUGAAAUUUCCUAUCUUUUCAAACUUUUAUCAUAGUUAUUUUUAGAUUUAUACCUGAUGAAUGCAACAUCUGGGCCAUGUUUUCUGGUUCUGUUUUCAGGUCUGUUUUCUAAAGAAAUAAACUUACUGUUUAUUUCUUUAUAGUGGAUCACAUCAUCUUUUCAUGUAUCCAAUAACUUAGUUGAAGUGAUAACUCAUAUGUUAAAGAAUGGCAGUGGCAGAAUUAAGAACACUGGAGACUGAUGUAAAUGAUUUUUACUCUAGUCCAGAAAAUAGUAUGCCUUUCUGAUUAAGCUCAUUAGUGUGUGUGUGUGUGUAUGUGUGUGUGUGUGUGUGUGUGCGCACGCGCACUGAGCCAAUCUAGUGUCUCUACUGGGCCAGGGCUGUGUCAUUCCUCUAGUUGGAUUCAAGUGGCCACAAAUUUCAAGUUAAGAUUUGAAGGUGGGAUCAUAACCUUCCCACUACUUAUGGUCUAGAUUUUGAGUGCUGAGAUUUGUCUCUGUUUUCC
rnacentral:lncRNA from 1 species